UGGGGAGUAGCCAAGUGGUAAGGCAGCAGGUUUUGAUCCUGCGUAUCGAGGGUUCGAAUCCUUCCUCCCCAACCA
rnacentral:tRNA from 3 species